ensembl:lncRNA
UUUUUUUUUUUUUUUCUUAGAGGCCCCCUUCUCAACCUUGCUUACUUGGGAAACUCCUAGCUCCCAUUUUUUCAAGAUUCCCGCUAGUUCUUUUAUGUGUUUCCUGAUAACCUUAGGUAGAAAAACAAAACAAAACAAAGAGUUCUGUUCUCUGGGUUCCUGUAGUAUCUCCAGUCUGUUGAGCAUUUUUCACAAUAUAAUUAUCUAUCUAUAUAUAUAUAUCUUUCUUCCUUCAUUAGACUCUAAUCUCUUUUAAUGCAACAGAGUAGUUUUGUUACUGUUGUUACUUUGGAUCAAUUACUUUAGCUAAGGAGAGGCAGUUCCAGUACUUGGAGAUCACUUUGCUUACAAAGUGUUUGGAGAGGAAUACUCAAGCCCAGAGAAGUUAAGCAAAGCACCUUUGUUUUGAGUGAGAAACACUAAAAUAUUUUGGGUAGAUGAUAGCAGAGAGGCCAAGUGGAAGGAUACUGACUGAGGAAGCCAAUGAGCCAGGCUGGGGCAUCACUGAGGUGUAGUCAUACUACAGGGUGGGCCGGUUAAAUGCUUAACUUUGGUAAACAGACAUGACUUAGGAGCAUUUUGGAAAUGGGAACCUAUGGCAUGUGAAAUGUUCACCUUCUCCUCUGACUUGCCCAGCAAAGAGUCAGUAUUUAGUGUUCACCAUUGAUUUUGCUCUAGACCAUAUUUGGGGAAGCAAAAAGAGAUGCUGUAUUUUUCCUCAGGUUUGGCCUAGGGUCAAAGCAGAAAUAACAUAUCUGGGGAUAGCCAGACAUCUAGUUUACAGUGAAAACCUCAGAACUGGCUGAAUACCUGAGACAUGAUGGUAGUCAAUGAAGAGAUGAACAAAGAAAUGGAUGAUGGAUUCUUAGCAAAAUGCAGGAAUAGCCAGUACUGUAAUUGACUUAACUUUUUUUCCCCCCCAGAAAUUAGAACUUCUUUAAAAUUAGCAAAGCGGGGGAAAGGCACAGACAAGCCUGAAGAAAUGCCUGCAUUAUUGCUGGUAGCUACAGGAAGCAGAGGUCUACAAGUUGGCAACUUCACUUGCCUCAAGUCCCUCAACAACUCUCAGCAGGGACCAGCAAGUAUCCCUGUCCUGGUCCUUUCUGUCCUCAAAAAGAGACAACCACCUGGACCCAGUCCACACUUUGGAAUCUUUUCUCAUUCACUUAAUGAAACAUAAAUUACCCCAGGGUGGAAUAUAUACAUAUUUAUAUUUUUUAAAGAGGCAGCAUGAUUUAGUGAAAGACAAUGGAGGAAAAAUGUUUAGAUACUUUACCAACACCUCUCACCUUUAUUAAUCAUUUUUGGGUUAAUUAAUGGAAUAAUAACAUAAACAUAGUAAAGAGCAAAAGAUAUAGCAGAUACUCAAUGAUCUAUCGCCUCCCUUACUUGUUGGCUGCACCCUUGGAAUAAGAAGUCAUCUGAUAUGCCGCAGGUCAGUGUUGGUAGAGUAGGUGAAGUACACAUAACAGGAAUGUUCGAGGGUAACAUCUUGGACACUUGAUGAGUACUGAGAAAAGAGGAGUCUUAGGCUCAGAAGACAGAAAUUCUCCCUUUCCUAGUUUUGCCUUAGGCUUGCCUUUGGGGUAGGUUUUUACUAUGCUAUCAGCUGCUUAAUUGCUAUUGAUGAAAAUGUUGUGUCCCCCUAAAAUUCAUAUGUUGAAAUCCUCAAAGUAAUGGUAUUAGGAGGUGGGACCUUUGGGUGGUGAUUAGGUCAUGAGGAUAGAGCCCUAAUGAUUGGGAUUAGUACCCUUAUAAAAGAGAUCCUGGAGGGUUAGCUCUCCCCCUUCCACCAUGUGAAGAUACAAAGAGAAGGUGAUGCUUAUGAACUUUUUAAGCAAGUUUUCAUCAGACAGUGAACCUGCCAGCAUCUUGAUCUUGGAAUUCCUCACCUCCAGCACUGUGAGAAAUUUCUGUUUAUAAGCCCCCUAGUCUAGAGUAUUUCCUUAUAGCAUGCUGAAUGGACUAAGACAGAGAUGUUUUCAGAUUGUUGAAUGGCUUAAUAAUCUUGUAAUGGUCUGUCUAGGAUGGGUUUACCUUAUUUUUAUUUGGAUCAUGAAAAAAAAAAAAAAACAAAACAGAUCCUUGUUUCAUACUGCUGCAUCACUUAGUUUAAAAAAAAAGAUUUUCAAAAAUAUUUUACGAUGAGAUUAAUUGCUGUUCUUUACUGGGCAUUAUCUAGUCUGUGUUCUUUAUCUAUAAAAAUGCCUAUGUCUCCAAUUUAUAACAGGUUUUAAAAAAAAAAAUGUGUGCAAAUAAUUAUACCAGCAAACAUUCUAUCUAGUUAAAAUGUAAAUACUUUCAUCCAUUUUUUUUCUUUUGAUGGUAGAAAAUAUGUGUUUCUCAAGAAAUUUGGAAUUAACUACAAAAUCUGUUUUGAAUUUCUACUACCAAAUUAUUUGUGUAUUUGGCAGCUGGGAUUAGUCUACUAUUUGCAUUAUUUUGUAAUGCCUGCACUUGAUAUUAUGUUGUCAAUUUGCAUUUAGUCAGUUUAUUUGGAAUGAUUCAGAUGUUUUAAAUGUAUUUGUUUUUAGAUAGGAAAAAAAAGAUCAUAUAUCCCUUUCACAAUUUACAUGAAAGAUCCAGAUGCAAAUUUACUUGCCUGUCUAAAUUCUUCCCAAGUUUUUUAAGAAAUGAAAUUCUCAUUUCCCCAGAUUGAUUUGAACGUGGUAUGUUGCCUUAUUAAUUGCUAAAGAUGCAGUUGUAAAAAUGCUUAUGUAUCCUUCUUAAAGUUUUUUGUUAGCUCUUGGAAAAGAGGAGUAUAAAAAAAUUGGAAGCAGGAAUUUUAUUACACACUUUGAUGGCUUAGAGUUUUGUUCAAAAUUAGUUUUUAAUUAAAGUAAAUUUUUAUCAUCAAUAAAUAGAUUUGUCAGUAGAUUUUUGGAAGUAGGAACAGAUCAAAUCUAAUAACAUUUCUUUUCCUACACUGUGAAAUUCAGUGAUGAUAACUUUUAUUUGACUAAUGUUUUACAGUCUACAAAACAUUCAGGAGCAUCUUAUUUAAACUUCCAAUUCCCUGUAAGGUAGAUAGAGCAGGCAAUAAUUUUCUUCCCACUUUAUAGUCAAGGAACAGGAUUCUGUGAAGAGUGAAGCUGCAGAAAACAGCGGAAAGGCUGCACUGGGUACUCAUAGGCUUUCUCAUGCUAAUGUCUUUCUACAUGUCCAUGUCAAUGAAGCCUGACCUUGGCUUUCAUUUUUCUUCUUGUUUGCAAAAAAGCCUUCCUACCCAGGAGCUGCAAUAGUGACUCUGCAGUGGAACAUAAAAAAGACAUUUCAACCUUCUGACCUGAUGGUAAAUUUCCAAGGUCAGCCAAUGUCUUUGACUUGACAUUUCUAUGAUUCAAAUACAUGGAUAAACCAUUCGUUCAGUGGGGAACUCAAAUAGGGCCUGUGGGCAAUACAGAUGAGUGAGACCCAGAUUUAUGUGCUCCUUGAUUCAUUUUUCAGAUUGAUUUGUGGUGGAGAAUUUAAUUACUCAUUUCGGUUUUUAAGACAUUUUAUUUUAUUUUAUUUGCUUUUGAGGGUCACACCUGUAGCAUAUGGAAGUUCCCAUGCUAGGGGUUGAACUGGAACUGAGGCUGCUGGCCUAAGCCACAGCCACACCAUGGUGGGAUCCGAUCUGAGCCAAGUCUGUGAGCUUCACCAUGCCAGAUCCUUAACUCACUGAGUGAGGCCAGGGAUCGAGCCCGCAUCUUUAUGUAUCCUAGUAGGAUUCUUAACUCACUGAGCCACAACAGGAACUCUCUACUCAUGUGUUAUAACAUCACCAAGAAUAGACCACAGGGCUUUGUCAGGAAGGCCACUGCUUGUGGCCAGGCACUGGGUAGCCCCUGCCAGGCUUUUGCUAUCCUUGUUGCUACUUUCUAGAUGUGUAGGUUUAUAAGGCAGCCAUUUGUGAUGGAUUUUUGGCAAUAUUAUAACAUGGCCAUUCAUUCCUUAAACAAGGGAGAACAAAAAAGAAAAUGAUUUCUUUUCUGGGCAAAUCUAAUGUGUUAUCUCAAUUCUUAACACUGCCCAUAUAGGUGAUACAGAACUAAGAGUUCUUCAAGGGCCCUUUAAAUAUAACAUUCCCUUUCCAUUCUCAGAUCCUAAAUCCUUUCCACAGCAGUGCACACUAUAGUCUGUCACCUAGUCUCACAUGUCAUAUUGUCUUAAAUCCCAUCUCCUUCUGAAGAAAGUAAUUGUUCCAAGUGAAUGAUGCUAUACCAGAAAACAUUUUCAAGUGGUUGGCAGUAUCUACCUUAUAAUGGCAAUUGAAUUUGAUUAUUCUGAUUUUAAAAAUGUCAUAGAGCCCCUGUUUAUGAAUUAUCUUAUUAAAGCCAUUUGGUAUUUUUCAUAUUGAUAAUAAUUGGAAAAAGCUAAUAUGGCUGCAAGUUUUAAGAGUAACCAGAAGCCACUUAAGCUCCUAUAUUAAAAGAAAGCCCUAAAUGUGGAACGAAAGAUGUUUUUUAAUAUCCUAUGGUAGACUAAUAAAAAAAUUAAACUUAUUACAUGACAUGUAAGACAUGUAAAAUGAAUUAUUUACAAUAUUCUAGAAACAAAUUUUAAGAGUAUCUCAUGUUCCUAAAUGCUUGUAUUUAUUAUGAUUUAUCUAACAGAGAGAAUAUAAAGGAUCCUAUUAUAUUUGAAUUCUCUCUUCCAUGUUGCUCUUUGCAGGUAAAUACUAUGUUUCAUAAUUUUGAAAGUUUCACAUCUCUGUAGCUAUAUGUUCAAUGUUAUACCUUCUAAAUCUGUAGUCACAUGUAUUAUGUAUUUUUAAAGGCUUACUGAAUUUUUCUUUUUUUGUUAAAGAAAAUGAUGCAUCUGAAGGAAAUAAUCUUUUUAUUAUUUUUAUUUUUUUAGGGCCACACUUGUGGCAUAUGGAAGUUCCCAGGUUAGAAGUCCAAUUAGAGUUGCAGCUGCCAGCCUAUGCCACAGCUACAGCAACCUGGGAUCCAAGCCUCAUCUGUGACCUACAUGAUAGCUCAUGGCAAUGACAGAUCCUUAACCCACUGAGCGAGGCCAGGGAUCGAACCUGCAUCCUCAUGGAUACUAGUCAGGUUCGUUAUCACUGAGCCACUAUGGGAACUCCAGUAAUCUUUCUAAUACACAUAUCUUCUAAUUUAUUUGGGACCUCCUCAUAUUCACAUGUUGAAAGUUUUAAAAUAACUUCAAGGUCACUUAUUCCAUAAAAAGCACUUUUCAUUUAAAAGUACAUUUAACAUGUAGUAAUUUGGAAAUAAAUCCAUAAGGAUAUUGUGAAAGAAACUCCUGGGUUGUAUUUUUGGAAGAAAAUAAUUUGUAGUUCAGUGUAUUCUGAAAAUACAU